GAUGAACGCUGGCGGCGUGCCUAAUACAUGCAAGUCGAGCGAACGGACGCGAAGCCUGCUUCUCUGAUGUUAGCGGCGGACGGGUGAGUAACACGUGGAUAACCUACCUAUAAGACUGGGAUAACUUCGGGAAACCGGAGCUAAUACCGGAUAAUAUUUUGAACCGCAUGGUUCAAAAGUGAAAGACGGUCUUGCUGUCACUUAUCGAUGGAUCCGCGCUGCAUUAGCUAGUUGGUAAGGUAACGGCUUACCAAGGCAACGAUGCAUAGCCGACCUGAGAGGGUGAUCGGCCACACGGGAACUGAGACACGGACCAGGCUCCUACGGGAGGCAGCAGUAGGGAAUCUUACGCAAUGGGCGAAAGCAUGACGGAGCAACGCCGCGUGAGUGAUGAAGGUGUUCGGAUCGUAAAACUCUGUUAUUAGGGAAGAACAUAUGUGUAAGUAACUGUGCACAUCGUGACGGUACCUAAUCAGAAAGCCACGGCUAACUACGUG
rnacentral:rRNA from 1 species